rnacentral:rRNA from 1 species
GAUGAACGCUAGCUACAGGCUUAACACAUGCAAGUCGCGGGGCAGCAUGGGGGUUGCUUGCAAUCCCCGAUGGCGACCGGCGCACGGGUGCGUAACGCGUAUCCAACCUGCCCUUCACCACGGGAUAACCCGGCGAAAGUCGGACUAAUACCGUAUGUUGUCCAUUGACGGCAUCCGAUUUGGACGAAAGGCUUGGCGGUGAGGGAUGGGGAUGCGUCCGAUUAGCCAGACGGCGGGGUAACGGCCCACCGUGGCUACGAUCGGUAGGGGUUCUGAGAGGAAGGUCCCCCACACUGGAACUGAGACACGGUCCAGACUCCUACGGGAGGCAGCAGUGAGGAAUAUUGGUCAAUGGGCGUAAGCCUGAACCAGCCAAGUAGCGUGCAGGAUGACGGCCCUAUGGGUUGUAAACUGCUUUUAUGCGGGGAUAAAGUGGCCCACGUGUGGGCUUUUGCAGGUACCGCAUGAAUAAGGACCGGCUAAUUCCGUG